rnacentral:rRNA from 1 species
CCUACGGGAGGCAGCAGUGGGGAAUAUUGCACAAUGGGCGAAAGCCUGAUGCAGCAACGCCGCGUGAAGGAAGACGGUUUUCGGAUUGUAAACUUCUUUUCUUAGUGAAGAAUAAUGACGGUAACUAAGGAGCAAGCCACGGCUAACUACGUGCCAGCCGGCGCGGUAAUACGUAGGUGGCAAGCGUUUUCCGGAAUUCCUGGGUUUAAAGGGAGCGUAGGCGGGAAGUCAAGUCAGCUGUGAAAACUACGGGCUUAACCUGUAGACUGCAGUUGAAACUGGCUUUCUUGAGUGAAGUAGAGGUUGGCGGAAUUCCGAGUGUAGCGGUGAAAUGCGUAGAUAUUCGGAGGAACCCCGGUGGCGAAGGCGGCCAACUGGGCUUUAACUGACGCUGAUGCUCGAAAGUGUGGGGAGCAAACAGGAUUAGAUACCCCUGUAGUC